rnacentral:rRNA from 1 species
UUGAUCCUGCCGGGGAUCACUGCUAUUGGAGUUCGCUUAAGCCAUGCGAGUCGAGAGGGUUCGGCCCUCGGCAUACGGCUCAGUAACACGUGGAUAAUCUGCCCUGAGGCGGGGGAUAACCUCGAGAAAUUGAGAAUGAUACCCCAUAGACCAAAAGUUCUGGAAUGCCUUUUGGUUCAAAGCUCCGGCGCCCCAGGAUGAGUCUGCGGCCUAUCAGGUUGUAGUGAGUGUAACGGACUCACUAGCCGACGACGGGUACGGGCAGUGGGAGCUGUCGCCCGGAGAUGGAUUCUGAGACACGAAUCCAGGCCCUACGGGGCGCAGUAGGCGCGAAAACUUCGCAAUGCGGGAAACCGCGACGAGGGAACUCCAAGUGCCAUGCCAUUGGUAUGGCUGUUUCCAUGUCUAAAAAACAUGGAGAGUAAGGGCUGGGUAAGACUGGUGCCAGCCGCCGCGGUAAUACCAGCAGCUCAAGUGGUGAUCCUUUUUAUUGGGCCUAAAGCGUCCGUAGCCGGUCUGGUAAAUCCUUGGGUAAAUCGUACCGCUUAACGGUACGAACUCUGGGGAGACUGCUAGACUUGGGACUGGGAGAGGUCGGAGGUACUCCA